CAAGGAAUGAGUUUAAGCUCAAAACAUCCUGCAAAUAUACAUACACGAAAUUAGAGAAAAAAGGGGGGAAGGAAAAAAAAAAAAAGGAAAAGGAAAUAUUAGUAUCCUUUUUCCUUUUUUUUUUUUUUUUCCCUUUUUUUUUUUUUCUUUUCUUUGGUGUAAUUUUUUAAUACAGGAAGGAAGGUCUGAGAUGCUGGCAAAAAGAAAAAAUAAGAAAAAGAGAAGAUUGAAGGUGAGCUUUUUUUUUAAGCACACCUUUAUUAGCUUUUUUUUUUUUUUAUUUUAACAUUCUUUAUACGAAUUUUUGAGAAGAAAGUUAUUGUAAAAAUAUCAAUUGGCUACUAGAAAUUUCAAUUUUAUGUUUCCAUUGUGUUUUAUAUUAUUUUGAAAAUAGCCAAUAAGCAAGUAUACACUGGUGAGUUCGAUUUUUGAGGUUUUUCCAACUUUUCAAGAACCGGGAAUGCUUGUAUAUGUUUAUAUAUAUGCGUGCUCAUUUUGAUAUAACGGAAAAAUAACUUAAUUCAGACUACUCCUAAGUUCAUUCCAUCAC
rnacentral:RNase_P_RNA from 1 species